AGAUGUUGGCUGACUAAAAAGAGGCGUAAAGCAACUGAGUGACCAUGCAAUACAUGAUCCAGACCAUUAAUCCGUUGCACAUAGCAGUUUAGUUCUUGAGUAUCUUAAGUGGGACUGUGGUAAAUGAAUUCUGGGUAAUUUAAGACUUCUUUCGAAAUAAUAAAAAUGGCCGACCAAGUCACUGCAACCACAGAUCUAAGUUUGCCCCAAAAGGAAAUGUUUGUCUGCUGGAAGAAUUCAACAGUUUCAAGGGCGUUUUACUUGGGAAAUUCUGCGAACAGUGUAACAAUAAGAAGAAAAAUCUGAUUUGGAAAAAAAAAUUGCAGCGACAGUAAAAACAUUGUCAAUCCCACCUAGCCUCUGUUUUGGGGGGAUAAACUGGACGAGAGAGCGGGGUGGUCUGGCUCAUAAACAGUGGUUUUGAUGCGCAUGACGUCACGCAGCGACCCUGUCUGCGGACGGUCCGGAUGAUACGGCAGAGGAGGGGAGGUAUUUACUGCGGUCUCUAAAAGCUAUUUCCCCUUGCAUUGCUCUUUCGAUAACAAUGUUAGCAAACAACAAAUAAUGAGCCAUUAUUUCUUAUUUUUUUGUUGUUGGGUAGUACUGGCCAGCACAGUUGUCACUGAUUGUUACCAUGGUAAAAUUAGUCUUAGAACUAGGGGUUCGACUGGGGGUAUGAUGUUUAAUUUUUUUAGCUUAAAGGUUGUCAGUUUUUAUUUUUGUGAAACUGUUUUACUUGCAUUAGACUUGAGAUCUUUGAAAUCUUUGUGAAAAGAUAAAAAAAAAAAAAAAAUUGCAUCUCCUUUCAAUUCUUGAUUAGAUGGAAAAAUGGAAAAAAAAAAAAGAGAAUCCGGAUGCACUUCCACUUUUUUUAAACCAACUUUAUUUUUAUAACACAUGGACAAUAAAUACUAGGGCUGUCCCAAACGAUUAUUCUUUAAACGUUUAAUCUAGAGAUUAUUUUUUCGAUUAUUCGACUAAUCUAACGAUUAUUUUUUUUAUUAACCUAACAGUAAUUUUAUUGCAAUUAUUUUCCAGUUAGUCAUUUAAUAUAACAAUUUGCCCCGUCCAACAUCUUGACUCGCUGCACCAUGGUGUUUCCUCUUUAUGUGCUCGUGCAUGACUGUCGUGCUAGAGUGAUAUGCCAGAUGCACUUUGCAUAGUCUGCAGACUACAGCACUGUUGGUGUCAAGAUUAAAGUAUUCCCAAACUUUGGAGGACCGUGUGCGAGCAUUUUUUGCCGCGUGUUGCUCCACACGCUCCGUCGUACCGCUGGUAGACGCCACCGUGUUGUUCAAAUAGAUUACACAGACGCAAAUCAUUCACGUAGUCAAUGACUUCAAUUACGUCACCGCGUUGUCCCAGUCCGUGCGCUGCGCUUGUAUCCGGGUAAACCAAAGACGAUGGAUAUAAACGGUCCCAUUAGAAAGUUCCGGUUUUGUUCUAUGAACAUUUACCCUGUGUGGUUUUACACGACGUGUCGACACUAAAAUUCCACGUCGAAUAAUUUUUAUAAUCGACAACGUCGAAUAAUUUUUAUAAUCGACAACGUCGAUUACGUCGGAUAAUCGUCCCAGCUCUAAUAAAUACUCCUUCCCUAACCACAGAAACAAAAUACAUUUAGUGAAAUUGUUUCUAGUAUUUUGUUUUGAUGAUAAUAUUAACUAAAAAUCCAAUAUGCUUGUUCUUCAAGUUUGAAAUUCAACAAUAUUUUUAUUUGUCUAACAAUAGGAACAUUGAUAGUGAAAUAAUUUAUAGCCAUAAUUCAAAGAGAAAACAUAUAUAAUAUACUUACUUUAUUCCUCUUCCAUUAGACUUUCAAACAAUAACUGUGGAAAAAAUGUAUGUUAAAAUUGUGCUUUCUAUGAUGGCUUGUCAGUAUAAUGCAAUGUAAUGAAUCAAGUCUGAAGCUGAUGCAUCACACUCUGCCUCUUGAGGAGGACAGGUGAAGUGCACAAAUUUGCCGCAGUAUCUGUUUCACAUCCAGCCACGACACAGCUGUUGGCUGUGACUCCUUUUGAAGAUGCCCUCCCACUAUGUUGGUUCAGGGCAACAAAGUUUGAGAAAUGAAUGUCAUGAUGAAAAACAUUCUUUGUCAUAUAACUCAUACUUGAUUCUUGUUGUCCAAAUAGUAAGUAGUUCAAACCUUCCUCCCCAAUUUCCCAGGGACUCUGAGACCAGGAGGUACCCACCCAGUUUAGUGGUUUUGUCCACCCUGUUUAUAUAAACGAGGGAAGGCUAAAUAACAGAAACACCUCUCUGUAUAAUGCAGUACAGUUCAACAGCACCACAAACUACAUCCUACAUAAUAUUCCUCUCUAAAAUACUUUCAAUACAAACUGACUAUUAUAACCAUCAUGAGGAGAGGAUGUAUUGCAGGGUUAUUGUAUUAGACUGCAUUAGUUUAUCUAAGUGUACUAAUAAAAUGACUGCAUACUCUCUGUCUGUAAAAUACUGACAGAGAUGGGGGAAAACCUUCAUGUUUUCUGCUCCAGACAUUUGGAAUAAUCUGCAAAGGGAAGGUUAAGAGACUAAUCUGAUAUGAUUGUUUUUUUUCUUAUUAUUGUACUUACUAGGCUGUUGCCACGUUAUUCAAUAUUUCUUAUAGGUCUGAGGACAGAAAUUACUUCAUUUGUUGGGCUGAAACUGACAGUUGAGUUAACUGAUGCACUGAAGCAUGUGGAGCAAAAAAAAAAAAAUAGCUUAAGCUAAGUGUGCUUUUCUGGGAUCAUCUGAUAAUGUUUACAAUGGAAAAUUGGAGCACAGCUGGUAGGUCAACCGGUUUAUAUCCAACCUGCCAAAACAGUACCAUCUUAAUUCUGUACAUGCUGCUAAUCACACUAUUUUAUGAAUGCUGUUGUCAUAAAUUAAUACAAGAAGAGCUGUUUUUCUAAGUCCCAUUUACAUGAUUUUGACCAAACCACCUUCUCUACAAUCUAAAUUUGAUGGUUAACAUUGACACUGGCUCAAAUUUAAAGGUUUUGAGUAAUUUCUCAAAUGGUGCUGGAUUAUAAUUUCAAAUCUUCAAAAGACUAAUCACUCUUGACUAAUUGUUAUUUUUCAUUCUCAAACAAAAUAAAAACAACACAGUCAAUUUCAUAUGUUACAGGAAAUUUAUUUAGAACAGAGUCAAACUGACACUUUGUUGGAUUUCAUAGUCUGAAAAUAGGCAAACGUAUAUUUGAUAGACAAACAUUUCUUUCUGGAAUGCCCUUAAGAUAAAAUUCUAAGCAAUUGUUUCCCGUUUCACCAGUGCUUUAUGUCCCUUUCAGUAGUCCUCUUUCUCACCCUUCAAAGAGUAAGCUCCUUCCUA